rnacentral:rRNA from 1 species
GUUGUAUGGUUAAGUGACUAAGCGUACACGGUGGAUGCCUGGGCAGUCAGAGGCGAUGAAGGACGUACUAACUUGCGAUAAGCGCAGAUAAGGCAGUAAGAGCCGUUUGAGUCUGCGAUUUCCGAAUGGGGAAACCCAACUGCAUAAGCAGUUACUGUUAACUGAAUACAUAGGUUAACAGAGCAAACCGGGGGAACUGAAACAUCUAAGUACCCCGAGGAGAAGAAAUCAACCGAGAUUCCGGUAGUAGCGGCGAGCGAACCUGGAUUAGCCCUUAAGCACUCGGUGAAGUAGGUGAACAAGCUGGAAAGCUUGGCGAUACAGGGUGAUAGCCCCGUAACCGACGCUUCAUCGAGCGUGAAAUCGAGUAGGGCGGGACACGUGAUAUCCUGUCUGAAUAUGGGGGGACCAUCCUCCAAGGCUAAAUACUCCUGACUGACCGAUAGUGAACCAGUACCGUGAGGGAAAGGCGAAAAGAACCCCUGUGAGGGGAGUGAAAUAGAACCUGAAACCGUGUACGUACAAGCAGUAGGAGCACCUUCGUGGUGUGACUGCGUACCUUUUGUAUAAUGGGUCAGCGACUUAUAUUCAGUGGCAAGGUUAACCGUAUAGGGGAGCCGUAGCGAAAGCGAGUCUUAACUGGGCGCUCAGUCUCUGGAUAUAGACCCGAAACCGGGUGAUCUAGCCAUGGGCAGGUUGAAGGUUGAGUAACAUCAACUGGAGGACCGAACCGACUAAUGUUGAAAAAUUAGCGGAUGACUUGUGGCUAGGGGUGAAAGGCCAAUCAAACUCGGAGAUAGCUGGUUCUCCCCGAAAGCUAUUUAGGUAGCGCCUCGGACGAAUACUACUGGGGGUAGAGCACUGUUAAGGCUAGGGGGUCAUCCCGACUUACCAACCCUUUGCAAACUCCGAAUACCAGUAAGUACUAUCCGGGAGACACACGGCGGGUGCUAACGUCCGUCGUGGAGAGGGAAACAACCCAGACCGCCAGCUAAGGUCCCAAAGUAUUGCUAAGUGGGAAACGAUGUGGGAAGGCUCAGACAGCUAGGAUGUUGGCUUAGAAGCAGCCAUCAUUUAAAGAAAGCGUAAUAGCUCACUAGUCGAGUCGGCCUGCGCGGAAGAUGUAACGGGGCUAAGCAAUACACCGAAGCUGCGGCAAUGUCUUUUAGACAUUGGGUAGGGGAGCGUUCUGUAAGCCGUUGAAGGUGAAUCGUAAGGUUUGCUGGAGGUAUCAGAAGUGCGAAUGCUGACAUGAGUAACGACAAAGGGGGUGAAAA